GUCAGUGUGUGUGUGUCUGUGAGUAUGUGUGUGUCUGUGUGUGUGUGUGUGUUUCUGUGAGUGUGUGUCUGUGAGUAUGUAUGUGUGUGUGUCAGUGUGUCUGUGAGUGUGUGUCUGUGAGUAUGUGUGUGUGUGUCUGUGAGUAUGUGUGUGUGUCUGUGUCUGUGUGUGUGUCUGUGAGUAUGUGUGUGUGUCUGUGUCUGUGUGUGUGUUUCUGUGAGUGUGUGUGUGUUUCUGUGAGUGUGUGUGUUUCUGUGAGUGUGUGUCUGUGAGUAUGUAUGUGUGUGUGAGUGUGUGUGUGAGUGUGUGUCUGUGAGUGUGUGAGUGUAUGUGUGUGUCUGUGAGUAUGUAUGUGUGUGUGUCUGUCAGUGUGUGUGUGUGU